rnacentral:rRNA from 1 species
UAGGAGAGCGUCCCGCGUGGGGCGAAGCGCCCGGGGAACCGUGCCGUGGACCGCGCGGGAGUGAGAAUGCAGACAUGAGUAGCGAGAGACGGGUGAGGAUCCCGUCCGCUGGAUGACCAAGGGUUCCGGGGCCACGUUCGUCGUCCCCGGGUGAGUCGGGUCCUAAGGCGAGGCCGACAGGCGUAGUCGAAUGGAUGAACGGGUGGAUAUUCCCGUACCGGCGGCGUACCGUAAGAGCCGAACGGAUGAGUACUAACCUCCGGUCGCGUGGCGUCGUUCCCUUCGGGGUUCGGGGCGCGUGGCCGUUGGGAGCGUAGUCCUGGUAGGCUAGCGCACAGGGGUGACACGGAAUGGGAGCCGGCCGCGGAGGUGGUUUUCCGUGGUCAAGCACGCAGCCCGUCCCAUAGGCAAAUCCGUGGGACGCAUAGGGUGAGGUGUGAUGAUGGGCGUCUUUUAUGGCGCGAUAUCCGGUGGUCCAGGCCGUCGAGAAAAGCCUCGGCGCGAGGGGCGUCGCCGCCCGUACCCCAAACCGACACUGGUGGUCAGGUAGAGAAUACCAAGGCGAUCGAGCGAAUCCUGGUCAAGGAACUCGGCAAAUCACUCCCGUGCCUUCGGUAUAAGGGAGACCCCCGGGCGUGAAGAGGCUUGCCCUCGGAGCGUUGGGGGGUGGCACAGACCAGGGGGUAGCGACUGUUUACCAAAAACACAGGUGCAUGCGAAGGCGCAAGCCGCUGUAUAUGCACUGACGCCUGCCCGGUGCCGGAAGGUUAAGAGGAUCCGUCAGCCCCUUUUGGGGUGAAGCGGUGAAUUCAAGCCCCGGUAAACGGCGGUGGUAACUAUAACCAUCCUAAGGUAGCGAAAUUCCUUGUCGGGUAAGUUCCGACCUGCACGAAUGGCGUAACGACUUCCCCACUGUCUCGACCAGGAGCUCGGCGAAAUUGCAGUACGAGUAAAGAUGCUCGUUAAGCGCAGAAGGACGAAAAGACCCCGGGACCUUUACUAUACCUUGGUAUUGGCGUUAGGCGCGGAUUGUGUAGCAUAGGCGGGAGGCUUCGAAGCAUGGGCGCCAGCCCGUGUGGAGCCGCAAGGUGAAAUACCGCUCUGUUCUCGUUUGACGUCUAACCUCGAACAGUCAUCCUGUUCAGGGACAGUGCCUGGCGGGUAGUUUAACUGGGGCGGUUGCCUCCCAAAGAGUAACGGAGGCGCUCAAAGGUCCGCUCAGCCCGGUUGGCAAUCGGGUUUCGAGUGUAAUCGCACAAGCGGGCUUGACUGCGAGAACGACGGUUCGGGCAGGGACGAAAGUCGGAGAUAGUGAUCCGGUGCCGGCGCACGGGCGCGGCAUCGCUCAACGGAUAAAAGGUACCCCGGGGAUAACAGGCUGAUCAUUCCCAAGAGUCCAUAUCGACGGGAUGGUUUGGCACCUCGAUGUCGGCUCGUCGCAUCCUGGGGCUGGAGCAGGUCCCAAGGGUUCGGCUGUUCGCCGAUUAAAGCGGCACGCGAGCUGGGUUCAGAACGUCGUGAGACAGUUUGGUCUCUAUCCUCUGCGCUCGUUGGAAUCCUGAGGAGGCCUGCCCAUAGUACGAGAGGACCUGGGUGGACGGACCUCUGGUAUGCCGGUUGUCGCGCCAGCGGCAUGGCCGGUUGGCUACGUUCGGGAGGGAUAACCGCUGAAAGCAUCUAAGCGGGAAGCCUGCUCCAAGAUUAGGAUUCCUUGGCACUUCGGUGUCUGUAGCCCGCAUGUUGAACACGUGUUCGAUAGGCCGGAGGUGGAAGCCCCGCGAGGGGUGGAGCCGACCGGUACUAACGGGCGAACGCGGCACACU